rnacentral:lncRNA from 1 species
AGGGGCUCGGUGUCCGGGCUGGUUUUGGCACUCCCCAGAUGGGCGUGUGGGGCCGCCCGCCGUGGAGGCGGCUGGGAAUGAGUCAGCCGGGCCGGGAAGGCCAAGCUGUGCGCAAGCUGGCUCAGGAGGAGACCGAUGUGCCUCCGCAUAGACUUUCCCUUCCCGUUCGUGCUAUCCCCUCUCUGCUUUCGCUUCCACUUUCCGGGUACUGCAGACCUGCCCUUCCCUAGCCCGGGGCAGUAGGCUGAGGCGAAGUGGGACUGUGGAGUGGGAUAACAGGCACACAUGCGCAAUCUCGAGAGCCUGAGACCAGCCAGCCACCUUUGCUGAAAGGGGGAAGGUGGAAUGAGGCACCCAGCAAAGGAAGCGAAACGGCUUGCAGUGUCCCAAAGAGCCUCACUCAUUCAUUCAUAUAUUUACUGAUCACCUACUAGUUACCAGGCUAUAAUCUUGCAAGGAUACCAGGGAAUGACAACGUGCAUUCUCCUUUCCCUCCUGGAGCUUGUAUUCUCAAAGAAGGGAUAAAUAUGCUUUAAAAUAAAUAAUAUGCUGAAUAUGUGACUGCCACCCAGAAAAAUAAUGCAAAGUGAAGGAGUAGAAGGUGAGGGGAGGUGUUAUUUCGAGUUGGCCAAGAACGACUUCCUAGAGUGACAUUUCAGCAGGGAUCUGAAGGAUUCGAGUGAGUCAGUCCUGUGACCAUCAGGGAAGAGUCACGGAUAAAGGGACUAACACGAAGUCCUCAGAAAAGUAAAUGUGUUUGGCAAGUUCAAGGGCGAGGAAAGAAGUCACUGUGGCUGGAGGACAGUAAAAGAGGAGGCAGUGGUAAGAAGUGAACACAAAGAAGUUCCCUGGGACCAGACUCAGUUUUAUCAACCUGAAUUGAGACCACAUAUUAGAAGAUGAAGACAACACUCCCGCCACUAGGCUACCAUCUGGCAGUGACAAGAGUCAGACAGACACGAAGUUUGGAUGUGCCUUCCUGAGCUCCAGGAGCCUGGUCUAGAGGGCUUCUGCUUACAUUUGGUUACCCAAGAGCUCCAGCAGGAUCAUGAAGGAAGGAUGGAUGGUGAAGGUGAGGUAUGUUUUCCAGCUCCCUACCUGAAGGGCUGUCAGUCACCCCUGAUAAAUGGCCACAAGACCUGUGAAGUGACCUGUUAUGGUGAAGCAGAACUUAAAGAAAAACAAGUUCUACUGAACCUUGGGUAGCCCCCACCCCGAAAUUCCCCCAAACAGCUGUAACUCCUUGUUCUGGUACAGAUAAAAUUGACAACUAUGUCCUGUAAACAAAGUUUAUGUCAUCUUGUUCUCACAGAUUCACAAGGCUCUGCUUCUUUCAAGGCUGAAUUGUCUGGCCUUGUCCUGUUCUGGUAAACUCACUUGCUACAUCACUAGAAAGACCACCCCCCUUCAACCAAAUGUAUAAAAACUGAAACCUUUCCUUUGUUCAUUGUUCUGCCUCUGGACAGCAGUCUGUUGAGCCAGUGUUCACCUAAAAUUAAGUCUUCCUAUGGGGAAAGGAAAGAAGGGAAUGGAAUUAAUAUGAGAAAAUGAAAAACUGGAAACAAAGUCUUUGUAGAUAGGGAGAGAUGGAGGGGUUGAAGGGAGGGCAGGGGAAUGGGGAAAAAAUAACCAAGAGAGAUUAUGUAAAGGUGAAAAUUUCCAAUGAUGAAUGUCAUUGUAUUGUAUACCUAAAAUGUACCAAUAAAAUUAAUUUUUUUUAAAAUUAAGCCUUCCUGAUUCCCAUUAGUCUUUCCUGUCUCUUGAAAUUCUACAACAAUGGCUUGAAUUUAGAUGGCACCUCAAAGCCUCAUGCAGAAACAUAGGUGGGGCUUUUUGGAGGUGGCUGGAUCUGGGGAGUGUGAGAAUGGAGUAAAGAUGUGUUUAAAUUGGUUUAGCACAGUUCUGGGUGUGGAUAAUGGAAUCCCCACCCUGGGUGUGGUUGGCACCAACCAAUAGGCUUACAGCCUGAAUGAAAUAAACAAACGGGAAAGAAAGGCUGCUGCUUACUGCUGCCUUCUUGCCUGCCUUGGGCUGUUUCUUCUCUACUGUGCCCCUCUGUCAUGUUGCCUGACCUUGGAGCCAGCCAAUUGUAGACUGAAACCUCUACAAACUGUGAGCUAAA